GGGGGACGGAUGGUGGGAGGCCAAAAGCAGCACGUGUUUUCUAAUUCUGGUUUUAUUAAGAUGUAACAUUGGAGAUGAACUUGAAGUUUGUAUUGGGCUGAACUUGCAAAGAUGAAAGAAAGAAGGGGGAAGGUCAUUAUUUAUUUCCUUGCAUGUUGAUUGUAAAUUCUAAAAUUUAAGUUCCAUAAAAGUAGGUGAUAUGUCUCUUUACUACCUUGCUCAUGAGUAUAACCCUACUGCCUGGAAAAGUACCUGUCACUGAGCAGGUAGUCAGUAAAUAUAUUUGAAAUUAAAAAUGCUUUAAAUAUCUUAGAGAUCAUUUAACAUAAACCUAUUUUUUUAUAGGUCAGAGAAAAGGAAUUCAGAUGUGCUGAGCAUGUACUAUUUCCAGGAAUCUCUUACCACCCUAGUAACGAAUUUUAACAGUAUCCUGCCCAAGUAUUAUCAUCCAGUACAUAUUAGCAUCCAUGGCAUAGAUAAUGAACCCCAGGG
rnacentral:lncRNA from 1 species